rnacentral:rRNA from 1 species
GCAUUAAGUGGAUACUUAAGCAUUAAAAUUUAAAUGGACGUUUUAUAACGAAAUAUUGUAAGGAGUAGAUAUAGUUUGCUGAGAUUUACAAUUCUCCAUAAAUUCGGAAAACCGAUUUCUUAUAGAUAAGAAAAUUGUUUAAAAUAUUUAAACAAAAAACUUGGUAAACUGAAUCAUCUAAGUAACCAAGAUCUAAAAUCAACCGAGAAGUUGUUAGUAGUGGCGAGUGAACGCAACGAUAGACUUAAGCAAAAAUUUUAUUUAAUAUUUAAAUAGCCAUAGAAGGUAACCUAAGUAAGGAUAGCCCUGUAAAGUAAAA